rnacentral:rRNA from 1 species
AAACCAACCGGGAUUGCCUUAGUAACGGCGAGUGAAGCGGCAAAAGCUCAAAUUUGAAAUCUGGUACCUUCGGUGCCCGAGUUGUAAUUUGGAGAGGGCAACUUUGGGGCCGUUCCUUGUCUAUGUUCCUUGGAACAGGACGUCAUAGAGGGUGAGAAUCCCGUGUGGCGAGGAGUGCGGUUCUUUGUAAAGUGCCUUCGAAGAGUCGAGUUGUUUGGGAAUGCAGCUCUAAGUGGGUGGUAAAUUCCAUCUAAAGCUAAAUAUUGGCGAGAGACCGAUAGCGAACAAGUACAGUGAUGGAAAGAUGAAAAGAACUUUGAAAAGAGAGUGAAAAAGUACGUGAAAUUGUUGAAAGGGAAGGGCAUUUGAUCAGACAUGGUGUUUUGUGCCCUCUGCUCCUUGUGGGUAGGGGAAUCUCGCAUUUCACUGGGCCAGCAUCAGUUUUGGUGGCAGGAUAAAUUCAUAGGAAUGUAGCUUGCCUCGGUAAGUAUUAUAGCCUGUGGGAAUACUGCCAGCUGGGACUGAGGACUGCGACGUAAGUCAAGGAUGCUGGCAUAAUGGUUAUAUGCCGCCCGUCUUGAAACACGGACC